CAACAUGUCCAAUUUUCGUUGGUCAACUGAAAAAUAGAAAAGGGAAAAAAAAAAUUGUUUCUCUCUUUCUCUCUUUUUCUCCCGAUCAACUUCUCUCUUUCUCUCCCGUUCAAAGUUUCGAUCCGAGAAAGGAAGAUCUGCAGAUCAAAGUCUCUCUUUCUCCUGAUCAAAGUCUCGAUUUGAAUCGGUAGACAUCUUCUCGGAGGCGAGUGUAGCGGUGGCGAUUUGAAUCGUCGUGGAGAUUGUAGCGGUGGCGAUUUGAAAGAGUAGGCGAUUCCAUCGAAAGAGAAUGGAUGAAUUCGAUUGAGAGGGUAAGUUUAUCAUGGGAAUAAGUAUUAUUAGGGUGAUUUGAGUUUGGUUGCUUGAAAUUAGGGUUGUUUGAUGUUUGAUUUGAGUUUGUCUUUUUAAGCGAUUGAUAAGUGAUGGUUUAAAGAGAUUAUGGUUCUUGAGAACCAUGUGAUCCGAUUUGCUCUGUUUGUGUAAUGUUUUAUAGUGUGUUUGUGUAAUGUUUUAUAGUGUGUUUGUGUAACGAUUUGUAAGUGAUGGUUUAAAGAGAUGUUUAGACAUGAUUGUUCUUGUCUUAUUAUGUGUUAAAGAGAUUUUGGUUGUAGUAUUAUCUAGUCCUUGUGUUUUGUUGUCUUUGUUUGAUAUUCAUUGUAUUAUCCACUCCUUGUGUCUUUGUCUUUGUUUUGAUAUAUGUCUCUCUUUUGUAUUGAGGUUAAAUGGUGCUAGCAUGAUAUUGAUGGAUUGAUGAGAGUAGAAUGGUUGGAGCAGAUUUGGUUGAUCUUGUAUUCACUUUUGUAUUGAGGUUAAAUGGUGCUAGCAUGAUAUUGAUGGAUUAAUGGUGCUAGUUGGUUGUGAAGAUGUUUAAUGUGUGGUUGGAGCAGAUUUCAUUGAUCUUGUAUUCACUUUUCUAGCCUUACCACUUGGAUCUGUCUGGGACAUCUGUGGAGACAAUAAUAUCACUCUUGGUUGUAUUGGGAACGUGUUUAGAAGCUUCAAGGGUUUGAAUGAAGAAAAUGAUGAUUCCUCGUUGUCUGCCAAGUGUCUGCUUCCUUCGUAUUAUAGUUGCCCAAAAACAGUUGCUUGAUGUUGUCACUUUGCAAAGAGAAAUCUAUUAUUGUUACAGGUUCUGUCCCAGCCCGGGUGAACCCUUUGGCAGCAGUAGGUUAAGUUUCACUAGAGAGAUGCCUGCUUGUCUUACUCUUCAAACCCAAAACAUCCAAGGUUUUUAAUAUAAGAAGUUUUGGGUUUGUGAGGGGAUACGCAAGGUAUUUGGUAACUGAUGAUUUGGUCAUUAAACUGAAGGACUCGGUUUCGAACAUUAGUUUGCUGAAGUUGACCAUGCAUUUGGCGGAGGAAGAUGUCAGAGAACAAAUGAUCACCAUUGGGAAAUCAGAGGCUAUGAGUUUGUUAAGAUGUAAUGUGACUAUAUCCUUCACUAGACAUGAGCCGGGGAUCCAGUCUCCGGUGUUGGAUCAUCAGCCAACAUCGCCUUGCGGCCUCUCUCUGAGCGACUGUUUUCAGCAAACUUAAUGCUUCCCUCAUGUAGACCUAAGCUCUUCUCUUCCUUUGUCCAUUCAGCUCCAUAGUAAUGCUCCUCUUUUGAUUUCUCUCCGUUUUGCGAUGGCCUCAAGAACAUGCUUCCCCACUGUGGGAAAUGUAUAAACGCAACCGGAAGGGAACACACGACAGCCAUAACACCCAUUAACGAUAGUCCUUCAGCUGUAAACGAAUGUGAGAAAAGAUAAGAAAAAGAAAAAGAAAAAAGAUAAGAAAUCGAAUGUAUGUUGAUAAUUGUAUGUUGUUCAUUGAUAAUUGAUAAUUGUAUGUUGUUUAUUUGUUUUUGAUUUGAUUGUUGUAGAUUGAAGAGUGAUUAAUACACUUGAGCCAUUUUAACA